AGCGGGAUAGCCAAGCGGUAAGGCGUCGGGCUCAUAACCCGAAGAUGGGAGGUUCGAUCCCUCCUCCCGCUA
rnacentral:tRNA from 1 species